GCUCAAAUUUGAAAUCGGAUGUUUUUGACAUUUGAAUUGUAAUUUGGAGGGAUAUCUUCGGAGCUGGCGCUGUCCUAAGUUCUUUGGAACCAGACAUCAUAGAGGGUGAGAAUCCCGUGCCUGGGUGGCUGUCCAGUUCCAUGUGAAGUGUCUCCGACGAGUCGAGUUGUUUGGGAAUGCAGCUCAAAAUGGGUGGUAAAUUUCAUCUAAAGCUAAAUAUUGGCGAGAGACCGAUAGCGCACAAGUAGAGUGAUCGAAAGAUGAAAAGCACUUUGAAAAGAGAGUUAAACAGUACGUGAAAUUGUUGAAAGGGAAGCGCUUGAGACUAGAUUCGGCCGGCGGUCAUCAGCUACGUUUCUACGUGGUGCACUUGCCGUCGGUUGAGCCAGCAUCGGUUUUGAUGGCGGGAUAAAGGUUUCAGGAAUGUGGCUCCUCAAUUUUGAGGAGUGUUAUAGCCUGGAGCGCAAUGCCGCCUGUCGGGACCGAGGACCGCGCUUUUGCUAGGAUGCUGGCUAAAAGGUCUUAAGCGGCCCGUCUUGAAACACGGACCAAGGAGUCUAACAUCUAUGCGAGUGUUCGGGUGGAAAACCCUUGCGCGUAAUGAAAGUGAACGGAGGUGGGAACCCCUUUGGGGUGCACCAUCGACCGAUCCUGAUGUUUACGGAAGGAUUUGAGUAGGAGCAUAGCUGUUGGGACCCGAAAGAUGGUGAACUAUGCCUGAAUAGGGUGAAGCCAGAGGAAACCUUGGUGGAAGCUCGCAGCGGUUCUGACGUGCAAAUCGAUCGUCAAAUUUGGGUAUAGGGGCGA
rnacentral:rRNA from 1 species